GUCCACGCUGUAAACGAUGAGAACUAGGUGUCGUGGGUGUUGACCCCCGCGGUGCCGCAGCUAACGCAUUAAGUUCUCCGCCUGGGAAGUACGGCCGCAAGGCUAAAACUCAAAGGAAUUGACGGGGCCCGCACAAGCGGUGGAGCAUGUGGUUUAAUUCGACGCAACGCGCAGAACCUUACCCAGACUUGACAUCUAUCAAACCCGGCCCAAAAGCUGGGGUGCCCGCAAGGGAAUGGUAAGACAGGUGCUGCAUGGCUGUCGU
rnacentral:rRNA from 1 species